ACAGUUACAAACCCUAACACUAAACUCCUCUGGCAGACAUCACCUUCAAAAAUAGCUACCGCCGCCACCACCAAGCUGUCAACAUCAACUUCUCUCAAUCCCUCAUUCUUUCUUCUCUCUCCCACACGUUUUCUUUUCUCUUUCUAUGGUCUGCUCCACUUCUCACUCUGAAGAGGAGCGGUCUCUCUAUCUCUUACGCACUAUUUCUUUGGCUCAGAUUCAAUAGACUUUAAGAGGCACGUAAACUGCUUGAGAAAUUGUCUGAUAGAGAUGGGCAUGGUGGUGUUUUUCGUUGGACUGCAUUUGUGUUUCGGCUACAACUAAGAUACUUGAAGUUUGAAAAAAAUGAGGAAAACCAUCCCGCCUUUUCCCCGCCCCGUCUUUAAAGAAAUGGGGAAAACCGUGGGGAUGGGGUGGGAAAUUCCCUAUAGGGAUGGGGAUAGGAUUUUAAAAAUCAGUCCUGUCCCGCCCCAUUGACAUUCCUACUUCCUGAUGGCUAGGAAUUAGUUUAGUAAGACAUUUAUGGAAUGAUGCCAAAUUAUGUGAGUUUAGAUGGGAACACGUUUUUGAAAAGAUUGGCAACAAGGAUUUAUGCCAGAAAUAGUUUUUUUUUUUUUUUUUUUAAAGAAUAAAAAAGUGAUGGCAGACUAGUAUGGAAAACAAAGGUUUGGUGCCUUAAAGAAAUUUAUGAUUAUGGUCUUUGUCUUCUUACUCCCUAGAGAAAUAGUAUUGUGAUGAUUUUCCAAGUGAGUUGCUCAAUGGGAUUUCCAGUUAAUGGAUGAUGUGGUUAAUUUUUUUUUAAAAAAAAUAUAUAUAUAUAUAUAUAUAUAUAUGUUGUUAUAUUAAA